AUUGAUUUUUUUCUUCUUUCAGAGCAUGACGUAGCAUAUCCUACAGUGAAAGUUUUCUACCCUUCUGGAGAGGAAUGCAGAGAUUAUUACAGGACGAAGAAGAGGACCCUGCUCUGCGUUGCCUCUGAUUUCUACCCAGAUCAUGUCAGCGUGUCCUGGAAGCGCAAUGGAAGGGAAAUCACUAAUGGUGUGGCGACUGACCCUGCAGCCAAGAAAGAUGGAGAGAAAUACAAAAUCUCCAGCAGGCUGAAGAUCCCUCUGGAGGACUGGGUUGAUCCAAAUAAUGAAUAUACCUGCAUCGUCAAAUUCUAUAAUGGAACUCAUCACCUUCCUUACAGUGAUACCAUUACAGUUCGUCCUAAUGAGAUAGCCAUCACUCGAGGGUAUUACAUGAGGGUCACCCAGAACGCCAAAGUGUCCUACACCGUCCUGAUCGUGAAGAGCUGCGUCUACGGAGCCUUCGUCUGCUUCCUGGUGUGGAAGCUUCAGGGAAAACGUGGAAAGCAGAGAAAGUGAGAGCUCAACUGAAGCUUUAACUCUUCCUCCCUGUACAUAAUAAACCUGAUCUGAUGUUAUUCUAUAAAGCCCUUUCAUUUUACAUAACAGAUCUAAUGAGUGGUAUACAAAAAACAUUUUUUAUUAUUUCAGAUACUUUCUAAGUAAAUGCUUGUUUCUCUCUAUGUGCUGUUUAAUAAAAUUGUUUUACACACUUUUG